ensembl:lncRNA
UAUCUGUCUGUCUGUUGUUUACAUCCAGAUAGAGUAGGAAGCUGGUAUAGGGUGAUGAUGUCUGUCUGUCUGUUGUUUACAUCCAGAUAGAGUAGGAAGCUGGUAUAGGGUAAUGAUAUCUGUCAGACUGUCUCUACUAUCAGCCUUUUUUCUCUUUCUCUCCAUCAGACGGUGUUGGAGGUACUAAAGGGGCGGGCCAUCCCUAUUUCUCUCUGGAUUCUGAUAGGUAGCAUCAUUGGAGGGCUUCUGCUAUUGGCCCUCAUCAUCUUCGCAAUGUGGAAGCUGGGGUUCUUCACUCGUAAACAGAUAAAGGACGAGGAACUCGAGGACUGAGCCCGCCCCUCGCCGCCAUGAUGUCAGUCAAUGGAUACAGUAUCUGUAACAACCAGAGAACCACAGAAACAGUCCACUUCGUGCCCAUCCCCAUGGCAACGACCUGCACAGAGACUGCUCCGCCCCCCCCCAGCAAUAAAAACAGAUGCCUUCCCUCUCUUCUAAAUCGUGCCCCACCACCCCCCAUAAAGAACGCACAGCCGGUAUAGAUGAGCGUUGCCCAGUGUGUGUCUGAACUGUCAAAACACCUAACACCACAUGGCACAGACUGCAUCUAUCAUCAGACACCCCAACAUCUUGUCUGUUUCUACAGGUGAACCCAUGGCUGUAGGGCUGUAGUUACACACCUGUUUAGAAACGUACAGCAGGAAGGACGUGUACAUGAGUUUUCUUCAGAGAUGUCCCAGACAGGAAAUAAUGCUGUACACUACGUGUCAAACUCAUUCCACGGAGGGCCGAGUGUCUGCAGGUUCACUCCACCCUUGUACUCGAUGGAUGAAUUAAGGUCACGACUUAGUGAGGGACUCCCCUCAACUGGUUGUCUAGGUCUUAAUUGAACGGACAAAACAAAAACCUACAGACACACAGCCCUCUGUGGAAUGAGUUUGACACUCCUGGUGCAAUGUGACUUGGUAUGAUGUUCAAUGACUGCAGACUUCAAACAGCGUAGAUCUGUAUAAGUAGAUAUAGUACAGGCAUCGACCUGUAGUUAGUACCAUGUUGUAUAAGUAGAUAUAGUACAGGCAUCGACCUGUAGUUAGUA